GGCCAUGUCCAAAAAUGCAUGUUUCUUUCUGGAACUUCAGUCCAUUCCCUCUGUCAGAAGUGAUGAGCUUUUCUUCAAAACAGAAGAAUGGCAGUGUGUAGGCUGUUUAAACUUCUUCUCUGGAAAAAUUAUAUCUUAAAGAAGCGCAUGCUUCUAUCAAGCCUCAUAGAAGUCUUAUUGCCAUUGCUGUUUGCUGGAGUUUUAAUUUCACUUCGUUUGAAGAGCAAACCACAACAUAAGGAUUCUAUAAGAUAUAAGCCUUUAUCCCUUGAUGAUCUACCCAGCGUCUUCGAUAAAACUUUUCCACCACAUUUCCUGUUGCUAUUUUAUUUCCCUUCUGAAAGUGAUGCUGUGAAGAAUAUUACUAAUAAAGUGUCAUGCUCCUUCCAGCUUGUUUUAAGAGCUGGACUAUACGAGAGACUUAUGAACUCUUAUCUACCUACUUUACUACAAAUGACCCUGACUAUUGCUGUGAGUGAAAUUUAACAAAAGGGUAAACUGAGGCAAUUCUCGGUAUCAUUUAUUAAGAAGGGCAUAUGUUGACAAAACAGUAAAAUAAUAAGUAUUGGAGAAGAUGUGGAAAAAUUGGAACACUGAUACAUUGUGGGUGGA